GACGAACGCUGGCGGCGUGCCUAAUACAUGCAAGUCGUACGCUUCUUUUUCCACCGGAGCUUGCUCCACCGGAAAAAGAGGAGUGGCGAACGGGUGAGUAACACGUGGGUAACCUGCCCAUCAGAAGGGGAUAACACUUGGAAACAGGUGCUAAUACCGUAUAACAAUCGAAACCGCAUGGUUUUGAUUUGAAAGGCGCUUUCGGGUGUCGCUGAUGGAUGGACCCGCGGUGCAUUAGCUAGUUGGUGAGGUAACGGCUCACCAAGGCCACGAUGCAUAGCCGACCUGAGAGGGUGAUCGGCCACAUUGGGACUGAGACACGGCCCAAACUCCUACGGGAGGCAGCAGUAGGGAAUCUUCGGCAAUGGACGAAAGUCUGACCGAGCAACGCCGCGUGAGUGAAGAAGGUUUUCGGAUCGUAAAACUCUGUUGUUAGAGAAGAAUAAGGAUGAGAGUAACUGUUCAUCCCUUGACGGUAUCUAACCAGAAAGCCACGGCUAACUACGUGCCAGCAGCCGCGGUAAUACGUAGGUGGCAAGCGUUGUCCGGAUUUAUUGGGCGUAAAGCGAGCGCAGGCGGUUUCUUAAGUCUGAUGUGAAAGCCCCCGGCCCAACCGGGGAGGGUCAUUGGAAACUGGGAGACUUGAGUGCAGAAGAGGAGAGUGGAAUUCCAUGUGUAGCGGUGAAAUGCGUAGAUAUAUGGAGGAACACCAGUGGCGAAGGCGGCUCUCUGGUCUGUAACUGACGCUGAGGCUCGAAAGCGUGGGGAGCAAACAGGAUUAGAUACCCUGGUAGUCCACACCGUAAAC
rnacentral:rRNA from 1 species